GCGCCAAUAGCUCAGUUGGGAGAGCGUCAGACUGAAGUGAUUCGGUCAUUAAUCUGAAGGUCACCCGUUCAAUCCGGGUUUGGCGCA